rnacentral:sRNA from 1 species
AGUAAGUUUGGCAGUGACCUUCCCAGAGCGGACCAAUAGUGACCAGCUCUUUUCCAGAACUGAGCGAAGUUUUUUAGACUUGUGUACCGUUGUGAAUACCCAUACACGUCGAGCUUGUCUAGAUUAUCUAGGCUACGGCUGCUUCUGUGGCCUUGGGGGUCAAGGCCAGCCACUUGAUGACGUAGAUAAAUGCUGUCAAGCUCACGAUGACUGCUACGGCAGACAUAGACAAUGUGUUGCUUACUUUCAAACGAUCAAUAUGGACUGUAAAGACGG